rnacentral:ncRNA from 2 species
CGGGCGAAUGAUCGCGUCGGUGCCUCGAAAGAGGCUUAAUAGGGAACGCGGUGAGAGGGCUUUGCCGCCCUCGAAUCCGAGGCUGUCCCUGCAACUGUAAGCGGCGAGCGCGAUGUACAUCACGCGGCGGGCAAGGCGCCCACGCCGCAGCCACUGGGCCGGACGCUAAAUCCUGCGAGGCCUGGGAAGGCCGUGCAUCAAGCGAUGACCCGUGAGCCAGGAGACCUGCCGGCGUCCGGUCGCUCUU